UACAGAGGUGGCAAGCGUUGUUCGGAAUUACUGGGCGUAAAGGGCGAGUAGGCGGCCUACUAAGUCAGACGUGAAAUCCCCAGGCUUAACCUGGGAACUGCAUCGAUACUGGAUGGCUUGAAUCCGGGAGAGGGAUGCAGAAUUCCAGGUGUAGCGGUGAAAUGCGUAGAUAUCUGGAGGAAUACCGGUGGCGAAGGCGGCAUCCUGGACCGGCAUGUACGCUGAGGC
rnacentral:rRNA from 1 species